rnacentral:rRNA from 1 species
GACGAACGCUGGCGGCGUGCUUAACACAUGCAAGUCGAGCGAUGAAAUCCCCUCGGGGAUGGAUUAGCGGCGGACGGGUGAGUAACACGUGGGCAACCUGCCUUAUAGAGAGGAAUAGCCAUCCGAAAGGAUGAUUAAUACCUCAUAAUAUUGUAGCUUCGCAUGAAGCAACAAUCAAAGGAGCAAUCCACUAUAAGAUGGGCCCGCGGCGCAUUAGCUAGUUGGUGAGGUACCGGCUCACCAAGGCGACGAUGCGUAGCCGACCUGAGAGGGUGAUCGGCCACAUUGGGACUGAGACACGGCCCAGACUCCUACGGGAGGCAGCAGUGGGGAAUAUUGCACAAUGGGGGAAACCCUGAUGCAGCAACGCCGCGUGAGUGAUGACGGCCUUCGGGUUGUAAAGCUCUGUCUUCAGGGACGAUAAUGACGGUACCUGAGGAGGAAGCCACGGCUAACUACGUGCCAGCCGCCGCAGUAACAC